rnacentral:rRNA from 1 species
AGUGAACGCUGGCGGUAGGCCUAACACACGCAAGUCGAACGGCAGCACAGUAAGAGCUUGCUCUUACGGGUGGCGAGUGGCGGACGGGUGAGGAAUACAUCGGAAUCUACUUUUUCGUGGGGGAUAACGUAGGGAAACUUACGCUAAUACCGCAUACGACCUACGGGUGAAAGCAGGGGAUCUUCGGACCUUGCGCGAUUGAAUGAGCCGAUGUCGGAUUAGCUAGUUGGCGGGGUAAAGGCCCACCAAGGCGACGAUCCGUAGCUGGUCUGAGAGGAUGAUCAGCCACACUGGAACUGAGACACGGUCCAGACUCCUACGGGAGGCAGCAGUGGGGAAUAUUGGACAGUGGGCGCAAGCCUGAUCCAGCCAUACCGCGUGGGUGAAGAAGGCCUUCGGGUUGUAAAGCCCUUUUGUUGGGAAAGAAAAGCAGCAGGUUAAUACCCCGCUGUUCUGACGGUACCCAAAGAAUAAGCACCGGCUAACUUCGUG